GACGAACGCUGGCGGCGUGCUUAACACAUGCAAGUCGAACGGUAGGGCCCUUCGGGGUACACGAGUGGCGAACGGGUGAGUAACACGUGGGUGAUCUGCCCUGCACUUCGGGAUAAGCCCGGGAAACUGGGUCUAAUACCGGAUAGGACCACUGCCUGCAUGGGUGGUGGUGGAAAGCUUUUGCGGUGUGGGAUGGGCCCGCGGCCUAUCAGCUUGUUGGUGGGGUGAUGGCCUACCAAGGCGACGACGGGUAGCCGGCCUGAGAGGGUGACCGGCCACACUGGGACUGAGAUACGGCCCAGACUCCUACGGGAGGCAGCGGUGGGGAAUAUUGCACAAUGGGCGCAAGCCUGAUGCAGCGACGCCGCGUGAGGGAUGACGGCCUUCGGGUUGUAAACCUCUUUCAGCACCGACGAAGCGCAAGUGACGGUAGGUGCAGAAGAAGGACCGGCCAACUACAUGCCAGCAGCCGCCGUAA
rnacentral:rRNA from 1 species